rnacentral:rRNA from 1 species
GACGAACGCUGGCGGCGUGCUUAACACAUGCAAGUCGAACGGAAAGGCCCUGCUUGCAGGGUACUCGAGUGGCGAACGGGUGAGUAACACGUGGGUGAUCUGCCCUGCACUUCGGGAUAAGCCUGGGAAACUGGGUCUAAUACCGGAUAGGAGCCAUUUUUAGUGUGAUGGUUGGAAAGUUUUUUCGGUGUAGGAUGAGCUCGCGGCCUAUCAGCUUGUUGGUGGGGUAAUGGCCUACCAAGGCGGCGACGGGUAGCCGGCCUGAGGGGGUGGACGGCCAAAGGUGGGCGUGGCGCCGGCCCGGCCCCCCGAGGGGGGCGGGGGGGGGGAAAUUGGCACAAUGGGGGGAAGCCUGGAUGGGGGACCCCGGGGGGGGGGAGACGGCCUUUGGGUUGGAAACCCCUUCGCGAAGGGGAGAAGGUUUUUGGGCCGGUAAUGGGAAAAGAAGCACGGCCUAACUACGGG